UUUAGUUCCAAUGAUGCAAUCCUGCAUCAAAGAGGAAUCUUUCAGGUUCCAUCCCAAAUAGAAAAACGAUGCCAACAUCCUUUUAUUUCCUAAACGAGAUCCCCUAAAAUAAAAAAGUAAUUUGAUCUCUAAAUACUUUCCUAAUUAGUACUAUUCUAAGAGAUGGGCCAAGUUUAUCUCAGCCAGAAGGUUUAAAACCCAAGCAAGAUUUAUGGGCUUGAAGAAUCGAAAGGAAAAGCCUACUUUUGGACCAACCCAAGAUGACUGGGGCACAUGCGUGUGACCUAAGCCCACACCGUACAGCAACCCCGUGCGGCCCACAAGCUCGCCCAGCGUGCAGGCCCGAGGGCCUGAACGCGCGUGCCUUGCACGAACAGGCCAAGAUCUGGCCCAGCUGGCCCUGCGCACAAGCCAUGGCUAAAUCUGCUGGCCUGCUCUGCGUGAUUAGCGCGGAUUGGCUUGCCUAACCCAUCUAGGUUGCCCAAACCCGAUCGACCCUCUCCACUUUUAACUAAUUAAUGUUUUUAUUUU
rnacentral:lncRNA from 1 species